UUAAAAGUUCACGGCAGUCACCACUUUUAAGAAAAUAUGAUUCACCUAUUAUGCAAAUUCACAGAAUUAGAAAAAAACCCAUAGAGCACUAUUUGUAUUACAAAAGAGGUAUUUGUUUCAACUCACAAAGGACACAUGAGAUUUCGUUGAUGGUUGAUCUUUCCUACUGAGUUUUUAGAAUGCGAUUUGAUUGUAGACUCGAUCUACAUGGUUUUUCAGAAAUAUUGCUGCAUCUAGAAAAUGCUGGCCUACCUGUUAAAUAUUUCUCACAUUCCUUUCUAUUCCCACUGAGGCUGAUUCAUGUGAUUCCACAAUCACAUUUUUCCUGGAUGAUUAGAAUCUUCUACGGGCCCCCAAAGCCGGUGUUUUUAUUUAAGUUGUAUCUUUUAUCUGAUAAUUUGAAUUCUCUAUAAAACGUGCAUCUCACGUGUACCUAAACCUUGUGAAGAUUUUAAUCUCGCUCUCUCCGACCACUGGCAUAAUUUGAAAAGCGAGAAUAAAGGGUUUGCUCUGACAGAAUUUUUAUGGAUUCGUUUGGUCUUUAGGUCCCAUCAAAGGGAAUUUAAUUAUUAGAAAAACUAGAAGGUCUCAAGUAUCGUACGGCUCUGGGUCUUGGUCCCUGCGGCUGAGGAGAUACGAAGUCUUCGUGUAUCUUGAGUGAUUUUCCUUUCUUCCUUUUCCACUCUUAUUUUGCCAAGUGCUUGACAUUAGCAAUGCCCUAGAGUCCAGACCACAGUCCUUGGGACUUUGACUGCCACAAGAAGGCAGAGAUCAGUUGGCUUUGGGCCCAUUCCUAGUGCCUAAAUUGAGAAAUUUAAUGGUCUCUUGGGACCUUUAUAUCUUUGCCCUUAAACCUCUUUAUUCAUUAUCUUUUUGAAUGCAUGUGGCUGCUGUAAUUUUUAUUCACUUAUAAUUUUCUCUUGGUUCCAUUAAGCCUUUAUCAAGAAAAGAAUGAUUUCAUUAAUAAAUUGUUCGGUAAUCUAUUUAUUUAUUUUUCUUCCAAACUCAGGGGUCUCUUUAGAAAUCGUGAUACUUUGCAGUACCUCUGAUUGACUGGGCAUGUAGUUGGAAUGUGGUUGGUCCUUGAAGAACACUGGGGUUAGGGACGCUGACCACCUCCCCCUGCCCAGUCGAAAAUUCAGUUACAACGUUGCUUCCUGAAAACUUAGCUGCUAAUGGCCUACUGUCAACUCAUAUUGUUCAAGGGCUCAACUGUAGUUUUCUAGCAACUGAUACACUGAACCCAGACCUUAGUUGUAAUUAAUUGGGUUUAGAAAUGUACUAUGUCUUUACCUAGCCCAAGUUAUUUAUUAUUGUAGAUAACUGCCACACAGAUUGAAAUCCACAACUUGAGCGCAGUUAGUAUCAUGCUGUAACCAACCGAACAAACUUUGAUGAAUUUGCAGUGAACAUUGUUCAUGCUAGGACUCUGAUGUUCUACUUUGGGAUCUGGGGAAUUUAUUCUGUGCAAUUGAAAGACGUUUUUGGGGGUGCCUGGGUGGCUCAGUCAGGUAAGCAUCUGACUUUGGGCCCAGGUCAUGAUCUUACAGUUCGUGGGUUCAAGCCCCGUGGCAGGCUCUGUGCUGACAGUGUGGAGCCUGCCUGGGAUUCUCUCUCUCCCCCUCUCUCUCUGCCCCUCCCCUACUUGCAUGCUUGUUCUCUUGUUCACUGUCUGUCUCUCAAAUAAAUAAGCUUUUAAAAAAAAAUAAAAAAUUAUUUUUAAGAUGCCUUUAUCAAAAUUAAGAAAUGUGUUAUUCUUUUGUCUUCAGUCAUGAAGGAACACAGUGUGGAGUUAUGUCACUUUAACAUAAUCUUGUGCUUUUUCCAGAUAGCACUUGAAAAAAAUGAAGGUGCUAUAUUGAGCUUCACUGAGAACUUUAUGAGUCUGCACCAGACCGUGUCUUAUAGUUUUGAGGUAUUUACUACACCAACAUAGCAUGGAAAGAAUGUUGGACACAGGCAUGCACAAAAAUGAACACACGUGUGGCGAACGCCCGUGGCACCUAGCAAGGCAAUGGCCCCAAGUAAAAUGAGCAUAUAACUGCCAGCCCCAUUAUUGCUGAUGUCCAUUGCUCUCGUGUGUAGUCUCCCUACUGUUUAUAACAAAAUAUAUUAUUUUUUUUCCUUA